UACAGAGGGGGCAAGCGUUGUUCGGAAUUACUGGGCGUAAAGGGCGCGUAGGCGGCCUUCUAAGUCAGACGUGAAAUCCCCAGGCUUAACUUGGGAACUGCGUCUGAUACUGGGAGGCUUGAGUGCGGGAGAGGGAUGUGGAAUUCCAGGUGUAGCGGUGAAAUGCGUAGAUAUCUGGAGGAACACCGGUGGCGAAGGCGGCAUCCUGGACCGACACUGACGCUGAGGCGCGAAAGCUAGGGGAGCAAACGGGG
rnacentral:rRNA from 1 species